AAGGGAGACCUAAUUCGGGUAUAAGACGAAAAAAGAGUAGUCGAAACCAAGAAUCAAUCCCAAAAGGUCGGAACGAGGUAUGUGGCUUUCAAACUAGGUUCUGGGUUCACACAAGACCUGAAUCAGGAACAAGGGCUAUUAGCUCAGGUGGUUAGAGCGCACCCCUGAUAAGGGUGAGGUCCCUGGUUCGAGUCCAGGAUGGCCCACCUGCACAGGUGGCAAAAACAAAGAAGCGAGGAAUCAGCACCUUAUCUUACUGACAUAGUAAGAGAGAAUGCUGGCUCUGAGUAAAGAGUCCAGAGGAACCUUGAAAACUGCAUAGAGCUAGGUGAAAAAGCCAAAAAAGAAGACCGCAA
rnacentral:tRNA from 1 species